AUAAUAAAUUAGUUUGUCACGUAAUUGACGAUAAACUAACAUCUUAGAAACUAAUUUAAAUAACAUUUCUGAUGAGUAAUAUUUGGCUGAUCGGAAUACAUUUUGGUUCCGAUAAGAUGGAGCACCUGCCCAUAAUGCAGAAUUCGUUGGAAAUUAUUUAAAUGAAAAAUUUCAUAAUCGGUGGAUUGGAACUUAUGGUCCUGUUAGGUGGCCCCCUCGUUCACCAGAACUAAAUCCUCCUGAUUUUUUUAUUUGAUGAUUUU
rnacentral:lncRNA from 1 species